UGUUAAUUUUUGUAUAUGGUGUAAUAUAACUGUCCAACUUCUUCCUUUUGUAUGUGGAUAUCCAGUUGGCCAAACACUAUUUGUUGAAGAGACUAUGUUUCACCAUUGGGAGGUAUUGACAUCCUUGUUGAAAAUAACUUGAUCAUCAUAUACAUGAUGAUUUGUUUCUGGCUCUCUAGUCUUCUCCACUGGUAUAUGUAUCUGUCUUCAUGUUGAUGCCAUGCUGUUCUGAUGAGUGUACAGCAAUUUUCUAGCAAAUUUUGAAAUCAGGGUGUGAGUUCUCCACUUUUUUUUGUUUUGCAGAUUGUUCUUAGUUUUUGGUGGACUUUGAAAUUCCUUUGAGUUUUAGGAUGAUGUUUUCUACUUCUGCAAGAAACAUCAUUGGUAUUUUAAUAGGGUUUGCACUGAACCUGAAGAUAGCUUUGGGUACUGCUGACAUCUUACCAUGAUGAGAGAACAGAGGUUUCCAAGAACAGGCACUUCUUGAACCAUAUCUCCUUGUGCACUUUGCUAAGGACCUGCUCCGGGACCAGUGCUUCUUCCAGGGCUUUCCUGGGGCUGCUGCAAGUGGCAUCCAUAAUGCCUAGAAAUACCCGAAUCCGGAGGAGGGGCAAGAUGGCGGAAGAGCAGGGUCCCCAAAUCGCCUGUCCCCACCAAAUUACCUAGAUAACCUUCAAACAAUCCUGAAAAUUUACGAAUUCGGCCUGAGAUGUAAAGAGACCAGCUGGAAUGCUACAGUGAGAAGAGUCCGCGCUUCUAUCAAGGUAGGAAGACGGGGAAAAAGAAAUAAAGGAACAAAAGGCCUCCGAGGGGGAGGGGCCCCGCGAGGAGCCGGGCUGAGGCCAGGGCGAGUGUCCCCAGGACAGGAGAGCCCCAUCCCGGAGGAGCAGGAGCAGCACCAACCUUCCCGGUCGGGAAGGGGCCCGCAGGGAGUUAGAGCAGGACCCAGGAGGGCGGGGAUGCCCUCGGGCUCCCGGGGACACUAACAGACACCUGCGAGCACAGGAGAGUGCUCGGAGCUCCCUAAGGGCUGCAGCGCGCACGGCGGACCGACCGGAGCAGCUCGGAGAGGCUCCGGAGCAGCUCGGAGCAGCUCGGAGGGGCUCGGGAGCGGCUCCAGGGAGGGAGCUGCAGGGCGGGAGCGUGAAUCCAACAGCGCAGGCCCCGGAGCACAGGGCGCCGGGACACAGCCCAGGAUCCGGCCUCCCCCGGGACAGGCAGAGGCCGGGAGGGCCUAGGACAGCAAGGACGCUCCUGCCCCGAGCUGAGCAGAUCAGCGGCCCCGCCCCGGAGCCUCCAGGCCCUGCGAACAGAGAACCGAGAGCCCGAGCCCCGAGAGCCCGAGCCCCGAGAGCCCGAGCCCCGUAGUUCCUGCGGAGGCUAAAUCCAGGCUUCCAGAGUUGCCAUAGCAACUGCUGCUGUUCCUCCUGGGGCCCCACGGGGUAAACAACCCCCGCUGAGCCCGGCAGCAGGCAGGGGCAGAGCAGCUCCCCCAAGUGCUAACACCUGAAAAUCAGCACAGCAGGCCCCUCCCCCAGAAGACCAGCUGGACGGACCAGUGAUACUGCCCCGUGUUCCAAUACAACUUGUUUUUGGCCACUCUGCACUGAGCAAAAUGACUAGAAGGAAAACCUCACCUCAAAAGAAAGAAUCAGAAACAGCCCUCUCUCCCACAGAGUUACAAAAUCUGGAUUACACUUCAAUGUCAGAAAGCCAAUUCAGAAGCACUAUUCUACAGCUACUGGUGGCUCUAGAAAAAAGCAUUAAGGACUCACGAGACUUCAUGACUGCAGAAUUUAGAUCCAAUCAGGCAGAAAUUAAAAAUCAAUUGAAUGAGAUGCAAUCCAAACUAGAAGUCCUAACGACGAGGGUUAACGAGGUGGAAGAACGAGUGAGUGACAUAGAAGACAAGUUAAUGGCAAAGAGGGAAACUGAGGAAAAAAGAGACAAUCAAUUAAGGGACCAUGAAGACAGAUUAAGGCAAAUAAAUGACAGUCUAAGGAAGAAAAACCUACGUUUAAUUGGGGUUCCCGAAGGCGCCGAAAGGGCCAGAGGGCCAGAAUAUGUAUUUGAACAAAUCCUAGCUGAAAACUUUCCCAAUCUGGGAAGGGAAACAGGCAUUCAGA